rnacentral:rRNA from 1 species
AACGCGAAGAACCUUACCAGCCCUUGACAUCCCGGUCGCGGACUCCAGAGACGGAGUCCUUCAGUUCGGCUGGACCGGAGACAGGUGCUGCAUGGCUGUCGUCAGCUCGUGUCGUGAGAUGUUGGGUUAAGUCCCGCAACGAGCGCAACCCCCGUCCUUAGUUGCUACCAUUUAGUUGAGCACUCUGACGAAACCGCCUCGGAUAACGGGGAGGAAGGUGGGGAUGACGUCAAGUCCUCAUGGCCUUUAUGUCCAGGGCUACACACGUGCUACAAUGGCCGGUACAAACCGUCGCAAACCCGCGAGGGGGAGCUAAUCGGAAAAAGCCGGCCUCAGUUCGGAUUAGAGUCUGCAACUCGACUCUAUGAAGCUGGAAUCGCUAGUAAUCGCGGAUCAGAAUGCCGCGGUGAAUACGUUCCCGGGCCUUGUACACACCGUAGAGAC